GACGAACGCUGGCGGCGUGCCUAAUACAUGCAAGUAGAACGCUGAAGGAGGAGCUUGCUCUUCUGGAUGAGUUGCGAACGGGUGAGUAACGCGUAGGUAACCUGCCUGGUAGCGGGGGAUAACUAUUGGAAACGAUAGCUAAUACCGCAUAAGAGUAGAUGUCGCAUGACAUUUGCUUAAAAGGUGCAAUUGCAUCACUACCAGAUGGACCUGCGUUGUAUUAGCUAGUUGGUGAGGUAACGGCUCACCAAGGCAACGAUACAUAGCCGACCUGAGAGGGUGAUCGGCCACACUGGGACUGAGACACGGCCCAGACUCCUACGGGAGGCAGCAGUAGGGAAUCUUCGGCAAUGGACGGAAGUCUGACCGAGCAACGCCGCGUGAGUGAAGGAGGUUUUCGGAUCGUAAAGCUCUGUUGUAAGAGAAGAACGAGUGGAGAGGGAAAGUUCACA
rnacentral:rRNA from 1 species